GAGGGUGUAGCUCAUGUGGUAGAGCGCUCGCUUAGCAAGCAUGAGGUCCUGGGUUCAAUCCCCAGAAUCUCCU
rnacentral:tRNA from 1 species